CCUGCCCUCGCCCAACAUGGCGGCAGCACAGCCUCUUCCGCCCUUCCGAGCCAGGAGUGCAGAAAAAGGUGAAACUGCCAUGAAAAGGAGAGGAGGAGUGUGUGAGUGAGUGAGUGAGUGAGAGUGAGACAGAGACAAGGAGCAUCCUAGUAGAGAUGGAAGGGGAACCCAAGGGUCAUCUAGUCCAACCCUCUGCAAAGAAGCUCAGAGCUACAAUUCCCAGGUCUUCUUUGGGAAUUCUAUGGGAAGUAAGAGUUUCUACAUUCAUGAGCAUUCACUUAGAGUGCGCUCAUGUUUUUACCUUUUAUUGAAAGCGGCCACAAGUGACUUGGGUGGAGUAUAAAUAAUAAAAUUAUAUUGCUCCUGCUGCUGUUCUUCUCUUAGCCUAACUCAAAUCCAACCCAAUACCAAACCUUAACCCUAAUGCUCACCCUAACUCAAACCUAAUCCUCACUCUAACCCUAACCUUAACCCAAACCUAAGCCUCAGUCUAAACCUAAGCCUAAUUUAACCCUAACCUUAAGUAAUAAAAUUAUAUUUCUCAUGCUGCUGUUCUUCUCUUACCGUAACUCAACCCCAACUCUAACUCCUAAUCCUAAUCCAACUCAAACCCAACUCUCACUGUAACCCUAACCUUUACCCAAACCUAAUCCUAAACGCUUUGCUUCUUUUUGUGGUGUUUUGUGUUAUUGCUUCAUUUUGUAGGUCAUGAGGCUUUCUUUGUUUCUUGUGGUGUUGCUUCAUUUAGCAGUUUUUUAAUUGGCUCUUGUGUUUCUUUUGGUAUUGCAUCAUCUUCAUAGGUUGUUUGGAUUUCUGAUUAAUUUGCUUUGGAUUUCUGGUAGCUCUGCUUCUUUAUGAUUUGUUUCUGUGUUUCUGGUGUUUUGGCUUGGUUAUGUCAUAAAAUUGAAGAAAUACCACCAGAAGCACAAAAACCAAGAAAUAUUCCCAAAAUGAGGCAAAACCAGGAGACAUGAAAACCAAGAAACAAUCUCACCCAGAACCGCAGAACCAUUCAAAGUAAAAGAAGCAAAACAAUUGCAAAAAACAAGCAAAACCACCCCAAAUUAAACAAAUCAGCAGAAAACAAAAAAGAAGCAGUAAAGCCACCAAUUACAAAGCAAUGCCACAAGAAACUGGAAACCAGUUUUUAAAAAGCAAAACCAGAAACUCAACAAGCAUGCAAUUUAUGGGAGUCCAAAAGCACUUCAAGCAACAGAAAUUAACCAACAUAGCAUACUAGUUUUCACUUAGUCUUGGGUUUCUGGUGAAUGUGCUUCGUUUGCAGCUGGCUUCAUUUCUUUUCCAUUGGUUUAGCUUGUUUUUUGGACUUUUGCUUUAUUGCUUCUUUUGAGAAGUUUUAUUGUUUUUGCAUUCUGGUGGUAAUACUUUUGAAUGCUUUGGGGGUUUCUGGUGAAUCUGCUUUGUUUGGGAUUGGUUGGCUUCUUUGUCAGUUUCCAUUGAUGUUGCUUUUACAUGGUUCUUCUGCUUCUUUUCAGUAGGUUUUUGUGUUUUUAGUGCUUGACUUCAUUGUUGGAAUGGUCAUUAGACAUUUCUGGUGGUUUUGCUUCAUUUCUCAUGGUUUUCCUUUUAUUCUUGGGAUUAUCAGAUCUCAUACAAAUUAAUAUUCUCAAAGGUGCAAAACCCAAAAAACCUAGAAAUGAAGCAAACUCACCAUAAAUCCAGCACCCAAUCUGUUAUGUACUAACCUUGGAUCCUAGAAUGCAACAACUGAUUGGUCUUUUCCUGCAGGCCAAUCAGGCUCCAAGAGGGAAGCAGAGUUAGCCAGUCAGACGGGACUCAUUGUGUAAAUAAUGUAUAUAAAAGCCUGAGGUUGGGGGGGUGGCAAUAAAGAGCAUGAAAUACAUACAAGACUCUGAGUAUAUUUCACAAUCGUAAUUUAUAUAAAAGAAUCUAUGAAACGAAAACCACAGAAAAAAUUCAACAUAAUCCCAAAAACAAACCAGAAACAACAGAAACAAACCACAUCCACCAAAGAUGAGAAAACCAAUUGAAUAGAACCACAAGAAACCCACGCAGUAAACAUCUCAGGGAAAAGCAAAAUCACCCCCACACCAUGCAAAACUAAGGUUUAACUGGCUUUGGGGUUUCUGCGCAAUUUACUUUUCCCCUCUUGUUGGGGGUUUCUGGUGGUAUUUCUUCUGCUUCUCACAUUUCUGCUUCUUUUCCAUUGGUUUUGGGAUUCUGGUGAAUUUGGUAAUGAUUUGAUUGAAGUCUCUGUCUGGCGAUUUUCCUUUUUCAUGAAUUCCUUCCUUGUUGGGUUUCUGGUAUCUCACUUUUGGUUUUCACAUUUCUCUUAGUUUUGCUACGUUUCAGGUAGUUUGCUUACUUUUUGGAAUUAUCCAGUCUCAUAAAAAUGAAGCAAUAUCAUUAGAAGCUUAAAAAGCAUGAAAAAAACCCCAGGCACUAACCCUAACCCUGAACAUCCACCUAUCCCCUGCCCUAACCCUAACCCUGAUAUUCUGGUCAUCCAUCUUGGGGAUAACAAUCUGGUGAGGUAAAUUCAGUUGAGAUCACUAAAUAUCUCCAUCAGCUGUGCUUCCUCAUCCUUGAGCUUAUCAUAGUUUGGUUUGGAAUGUUGUAGAGGUGCUUAUGGAGUGGGGGCAGCCUUCCUAAGAAGGUGGAUGAGCAAGACAUAAAGCUAAUCAUUCUACAAUGACGUUUGUGUCUGAAAAUGUGGGUGCUUAUAUCCCUCAUGGCAGAGUUAUGUUCUGUGCCCCACAGUUGUAUAGACCUGGUGGUAUGCAUCUUUCUGAUUUGGGUUGUGACAUGAUUCUUAAGGAUCUGCAAAGAGCUCUGUUUGAGCACUUGUGUGUUUGUGGGUGGAGGUGAACAAGCACACCUGCCCAGACUUAGAAUCAUAGAAUCAUAGAGUUGGAAGAGACCACAAGGGCCAUCGAGUCCAACCCCCUGCCAAGCAGGAAACACCAUCAGAGCACUCCUGACAUAUGGUUGUCAAGCCUCUGCUUAAAGACCUCCAAAGAAUGAGACUCCACCACACUCCUUGGCAGUAAAUUCCACUGUCGAACAGCUCUUACUGUCAGGAAGUUCUUCCUAAUGUUUAGGUGGAAUCUUCUUUCUUGUAGUUUGGAUCCAUUGCUCCGUGUCCGCUUCUCUGGAGCAGCAGAAAACAACCUUUCUCCCUUCUCUAUGUGACAUCCUUUAUAUAUUUGAACAUGGCUAUCAUAUCACCCCUUAACCUCCUCUUCUCCAGGCUAAACAUGCCCAGCUCCCUUAGCCGUUCCUCAUAAGGCAUCGUUUCCAGGCCUUUGACCAUUUUGGUUGCCCUCCUCUGGACACGUUCCAGUUUGUCAGUGUCCUUCUUGAACUGUGGUGCCCAGAACUGGACACAGUACUCCAGGUGAGGUCUGACCAGAGCAGAAUACAGUGGCACUAUUACUUCCCUUGAUCUAGAUGCUAUACUCCUAUUGAUGCAGCCCAGAAUUGCAUUGGCUUUUUAGCUGCCGCGUCACACUGUUGGCUCAUGUCAAGUUUGUGGUCAACCAAAACUCCUAGAUCCUUUUCACAUGUACUGCUCUCAAGCCAGGUGUCCCCAUCUUGUAUUUGUGUCUCUCAUUUUUUUGCCCAAGUGCAAUACUUUACAUUUCUCCCUGUUAAAAUUCAUCUUGUUUGUUUUGGCCCAGUUCUCUAAUCUGUCAAGGUCGUUUUGAAGUGUGAUCCUGUCCUCUGGGGUGUUAGCCACCCCUCCCAGUUUGGUGUCAUCUGCAAAUUUGAUCAGGAUGCCCUUGAGUCCAUCAUCCAAUUUGAUUUGGUUACAUUGGUCAAAUCUGACUAGUUUUGCCGAUCCUCAAGUUGUUAUAUUUAAUAAAUAUUUAAUAAAUACAACCUAUUUAUCCACUUUUGGUUGUCUUGACUCUUCCUCCUGAUGUGCUAGGAACCACUCCGUUUGGGGGGCACUGCAAAACAUGCGGUUUUUACUGCAAACAUUUGCCAGACUUUGGCCUUGAUUUGGAGUGAAUCAGGCGAUGUUGGGUUUUGGGGUGACCUUAUGACCCCUGUCACUUACUUGGUUUGUCGGGCAAAAUGCUACAAAAAUGCUACAAUGUCUGGCAAAAUGCUACAAAACUUUUGCCAGACUUUGGCACCAGUUUGGAGUGAAUCGGACAAUGUUGGGUUUUGGAUAUUAAUUAUGAACCCCGGUUUGAUGUAUCAAUUACUCUGUUUAUGGGGUGUUACAAAAUGUGGGGGUUUUGCUGCAAAACUUUUGCCAAACAUCAGUUUUGAUGGGAUCCCAGAUUUGGGGGUUUGUAGUUAAAUGAAGCAUUCUUUCAGUGCUUCUCGGGAAAUGUGCAGUUUCCGUCAGAUCAAACUAAUACUACUGGAUAAAAUUAUAUGAUUGUUGAUUAUCAGACAGUUCUCCCAUUUAUCAAGGAAAACGUCUGUUAUGGGUGGCUUUUGCUUGGUGUGUGUGACUGUUGACAGACAGAUUUGAAAAGGAACACAGCUUCCUCUGUUUGUCUCACAGUAACUUACUGGCCUUUUUGAUUAUGCAGUCGGUGCGUCUUGUGGUCUGGUGCGUCUUAUAGAGCGAAAAAUACGGUAAUUCCAGUUGAUUUGUUUUAAUGGUCACAUAAAGGCACUUUCUUUGGUUAUAAAAUGAUGUUGUGAGUCUUAUAUCUGAGCAGUCAAUAAACUCCCUCCCCCACAGAAACGCUUGUCUUACUUCUUCUUCUUCUUGGCAUCCAUACUUACAUGUUUGUUUAAAGAAAGACUAACCCCACCCUGAACCCCACCUCCAGCUUUCAUCUUAUUAUUCUAGUGACUAGUCAGUGUUCAUAGCAACACUUGCUUUUGUUCCUAGACAAACUGCCCUGAAAGACAGUUACUAUGAACUACAUGUGUCUUCUUGAUAUAUAAGGUUGUUGCUAGUUUCUGCAAAACACUUCUUUAUCUUUCAACAAGAAAUAAAUGAAUAGGAGGCUGCUCUAAGGAAGAAGUGUGAUUGCAUCUGGAAUAUCAGACUCUCUGUAUUUUUAUUUAUUUACUUGAUUUAGGGGUGGCCACUUCACCCCCUGGCUAUGCCCAUGUCCCCAACUAACUGAGCUUCUUGGGAUCAUCCUGCCAUGCUGUGAGCUACUACAUUAUCCGGCACUUUACAGAACCUUCCUUAGAGAAUAAAAACCUGAGGCGAAUUUCAAGUCUAAACAGGCUACACAAAAAGAAACAGCAGCGAUUCUUUAUGUUUGACUUGUGCUUGAGCGCCUGAUAUCUCAGAAAAUCAACAUCAGUGUUGGGGUGGGUGGGUCAGGGCAUUACCAAAAUGUUAUGAUAGAUGGAGCCAUGGAUGUGGCCAAGGGGGGCCAAAUAAAUAAAAAUAAAUAAAAAUACAUAGCUAACUGAGGUUCUGACCCCCUAACAAAAGGCCUGCCCCCACUAACAAAAAUCCUGGCUACGCCCAUGGAUGAAGCCAACUACAGUAACUCUGGUUUUGUCCCCACCCAGAAGUGUAGCAUGUGUGGGCCGUGGGGGCACAAAUUUGUGGCAGGGGGCACAAACAGGUGCCCCCAAAGCAGGCUCCCUCAUUGGUGCCUGGCUCCGCGUGAGAAGGAGCUGACCUAAGCUGCUGUGCGUCUGCUGGCCACAGCUCUGUCCUUAGGUUAGGCCUGACCCAGGGAAGAGAGCAGGAGGGUGGGUGGCCGCAGUGCACCUCGCUCCCAGUCACAGCAGCAGCUCCGCCUCCGGGUCACGUCUGACCUGGCGCACUCAAGGAGCCUGAGCAGCAGCUUCCCUCCCCCUCUCCUCCCCUGGACAUGUGGGGCAUGCCCCUCUCCCCUCGUUGAGUUCUGCAAAGGCAGCCCUGAGACUGAGGAGGAAAGAGCUCACUGCUCAUGCCAACCCUAGAGAGGAUGUAAGAAAGAAGCAGGCUGUUGGAGGACAGCCAAGAAACAAUUGAGCUUGGUGGAGCAGUGCCCCAGUCCCCCUUAAGGACAAGCCUCCACUGACAGGGAGCAAGAAGGAAUUUUAAAUGGCGAAAGACAGGAGUGCCUGGCGUGCUCUGGUCCAUGGGUCACGAAGAGUCAGACACGACUAAACGACUACACAACACAAUAUUGGCAUGGGAACUAAAAUAGCUCAAUGUUGCAAUUUGUCUACCCUACUUAAUAUUUACCAUUAAGGAAAGUAUAAAGUCAUGGAGUAAAUCCUUUCAGCUUGUUGAUGUGAAGCAGCAGACCUCAAUCUGAUACUGCAAAUGUUAUAGAAUUAUUGAAUAUUCAGAAGUAUACCUCUCCACCACUCCUUAGUCAGGCUAGUUUUGGGCAUUUAUGGCAAGAUUAUCCCAAGUGGAAAGGAAUAAUGUAUUUUCACUGUUAUGUAUUCAGUGGUCUGUCUUUGCUUCCCAUUGUCUCAGGAAUUGGGUAAUUACCAUCUCAAAGGAAUGGCCAGACUACCAGGAAAGGCAAUCAGAUAAGGCAUUAUCAGAUAACCUGGCAGACAGGAAAAACAACGUUCACAUUUCUAUUGUAGAAAUUUCCCUUUUCUGUGAUGUAGGUAUGAUGUUUGUGGGGGUGGUCUUGAGUUCCAGGGUAGGGAAUUUCAAAAUGGCAAGCAGACAUUGUUCGCAGUCCUCCUCCUCUCUCCUGCGUGUGGGUGGAGCACCCUGUUGCAACAGUUUAAUAAAGAUCAGGCUUACUAGCUGCUUUGCUUCUCAAUAUUCUCUGGUUGGCCUCUGUUAUUUUCUCCUACCGAUGGAGAACCUACAAGGUUCUCCAAUAAAGGAAUAAGGGCAGAUUUUGUUUACAACAACACAAAGCCAUCUGAAACUGUCGAAUAAACUGCAAGAGCAGCAAUAGAAAAUUGCUUUCACACACUAAAAGUUCCCUGCAACUAGAAAGCCAGCAAAGCAGGGGAAAGGCUAGCUUUUUUAAUUGACAAGUACCUUCUCUAUGAUGUGGUAGGCUUUGGUUUUUACGCAUAGAAGUGUUAUUCCCCACCUGUAGCUUGAGGUAGUAUGGUCCAUUUGGCCACCUCAUUCUGCUGCAUAUGGUGAUUGCUGGAAUUUUUAAUUCUUAAGGAAACAUUGUGUCUAUUUUUCCCACAUGAGAUGUUUCUUUACUUAUAUCAAUAAUGUUAUGAAAGACUUGUAGCAUGCUUCAAGCUGAUUAGCACUUGGUGGCUGUGAAGCUUUAAAUACAAAACAGACACAUAGUGAAAGGAUUUCUACACACUGAAUUUUUUAUUUAUUUCACAGAGCAAUUGCUUUCAGCUUUGCAGAGGAGCCCGUAGUAGCCAAACUACAGUACUUCCGGGAGAGCUGUGAAGCAGAGCUCCCUCCACUGGCUCUGCUGUGACAGGACAGCUCCCUCAGGCCUCCUCUCCCCACAACUGUUAUCUGGGGCAGCCAUCAGUGGGAGAGCUUUGCUGGAGGCCCAGCUCCUUCAGGCACCUCCAGCCCCUGAACUGUGCCAGCUGGUCAACAUAGGAACAACUGUUUAGUGAUUUGUGACUGAGAUUUGAUAUUCCUCUUCCCUCCCUGCCCCCUUUGCCUGUGGGUAGGGACCAUCUUGCUUUGAUUGCAUUUAAGUUGUCUGGUGGCCUUGUUGGCUGAACAGCGAGGCACAAAUGUUCCAAAUAAAUAAAUCUCUAUACACAGUAUAGAAAAUUAGUGAUCUUUGUAAUGUGUGAUUUUGUAGUACUACUUUGUAGUAGGGUGGCCAGAUACCACAUAGUAUUUGAGCAAGAACAGAAGACCAAAUAAGUGAAUAAGGCUAAAACCGGGGUGGGGGGUUGGGGGUGCAAAUGUGAUUUACAAAUUAUGUGCUAUAAGAAACCAAGAAACCUCCUGCUGGGUCAGACCAAAAGCCAAGAGCCUUUCUUCCUCCAGUAGCCAAUCAGAUGCCUCCAGGAAAGCCAGCAACAGCCCUCCCCAAUUGUUGCUCCCCAGCAACUAGAAUUCAGAGACAUACUGCCUUUGUACAAGGAUCUAUCACUUCUCCUUUGGGCAGACCACUCCUCCAUGAUUUUGUCUGAUUCCCCUAUAAGCCAGUGACCAUGAGCACAUCCUGUGGCUUUUUAGUACCAUGCAUUCAUUAUGCACAGCAUGAAUAAAUACUUUGUCCUAUUCUGCUGCCCACUUAUUCCAAUCCAAAUUGUACAUUUUAAAAACUUCUCUAUAAGUUAAGAAUGCACAUGAUUUGCAGUGCAUGUUUACUCAGGAGUAAAACUUAAGUUUAGUAGGACUUGCCUAGGAGUGUAUAUAAGACGACAGCCAUAUUCUGUUUUUGUUGGUCAUGGGGAAAUGCACUGAACUAUUGAUUCUAUAUGGAUGCUUCAGUUGCGAAUCCUGCACUGCACUACAUGACCCUUGGGGUGCCUUCCAACUCUACAAUUCUAUGAUUCUAUGAGUCCCUCCCCAUGGUUGCUGACCCACUUUCUGGUGCCUGAGAUUUCAUCAGUUAUUUUGCACACACUUUGAAGGCUCUUCUUUUGCUAGAAUCCUUUUGUUGAAAUGAAACCUGAGGUUACCCAGAUGCUGAAUUCCACAUCCACCCUCCAAAUUUUGAUGGCUUUUCCUUCACUUGCCCCACCUAAGUCACGCUUGGUCCUAGACAAAAACAAAACUUUAUGGUCUAAUACUGUGGUGAAAUUUAUCAGUGUGAAUUGUUUUCUUCAUUUUUUGGGAACAGAUGUGGUGAAGCAGUGGGGAAAGAGAACCUCAGACCAAUGAUCGAGAGGAAGAUCCCAGAGCUGUAUAAACCUAUUGUGAAAGUUAACAGUAUUUGAAGGCAUAAGAAUAGCCCUUUCCCCCACACGCCCAAUAACCAUAGCAAAAUACAACAUAGGAUGGGGGUAAGCAAUAUGGUUCACUCCAGAUGAUCAGCCUCAGUUAUCAUGGCCAAUGGUAAUUUUCUUCUUAUUUAUUUUAGGGGCUUAUUCUAGUUUUAGGAAAUAUGAAAAUCUGCCUCCACAGAUAAGAGCAGCUUCAUGAAAAGGAGCUAUCUACUUGCAGUGGAUCAAAUACUAGAGGAUAUACAAAUGUUGUUUGAAGUCAAAAGAUUUCCCUUCUCUCUGUACUCAACAAUCACAUCUUCUAAGGGAGGGGAUAUUGAAACUACUUGCAGAAAAACAGAUAUUUUAUUAUAAAUUGACAUGGAUAUUUGCAUUGUCAACACAAUGUUCCUUGUAUGUAUGUAUGUAUGGGUAUCUAUGAAACUUCAUCUGUGGAUGUUUGACCAUACCAAGCUCAAGGAAAUGUUCCUGAAUGCAACCCAAAGCCCCUUCUGCGCAAUCAUGAAUUUGCAUCAAUGUUACAUAUAAGCACAUUCACCAAGCAGCAGAUACGAACAGUUAACCAAAACAAAUCAACCCAUUUUUUAAGCACAUUUCUAUUGCAUUUAUUGUGAUAAGAAACUUACAGACAUUUGUAUCUAGAUUCCAACUUAUAUAAAAUUAUUGUUGUUUGAAUGGGAAUAAUCUUAUUGCUUGAUGGAAAGUACUGCAAUGGAUCUGGUAAUAACUUUUCUCAUGGAAGUGGAUGCCAUUAUGCUUUUUAACAAGUAAGAUAAAUUUGCAUGAGGAUAAAACAAUGCUCUGUAAUAUUUAAAUCUCAUUGGAUGGAGGCCACACAAAUGCAAAAUGGAGACCACUCAAGUGAGAACAAUAAAACUCCAUUUACUGCAGAAGUUAUAUUUCUUCCUAUGGGCUACAGGGAUUCAUUCUAGUUAGAAUAUUUUAUUAUUGUAAUUAUAAUUGUUAUUUAAAAGUAGCACUAUAUUUCUUCUAAUACUUGAAAUACAGUGUUGGUUCCUGACUUUUUUUUUUGCUUCAUGUUGGGUGGGACUCAUUUCCCUUCAGUUCAGUGUUCACGAGAGGCAAGGUAAAAGCUUUGCAAAUUUGUAUACAUAUAUGUAUAUGGUAGGGACGCGGGUGGCGCUGUGGUCUAAGCCACUGAGCCUCUUGGGCUUGCUGAUCAGAAGGUCAGUAAUUCGAAUCCCUGUGACCCAUUGCUCGGUCCUAGCUCCUGCCAACCGAGCAGUUCAAAAGCACGCCAAAAAGUGCAAGUAGAUAAAUAGGUACCGGGACUUGCGGGUUAGCGCCAUCGGCGAAUGGCGGAGUUCCUCCGACCGGAGGAACUGGCUCCGUGGAAACUGGGUCUUCCCGCCACGGCGAAGGUGGGGACCCGCUAGAAAUCCCAGGCGGAGGAAGCCUGGGAACGUGGGGUUCAGCAGGGCACCAGGAGCGCCUCCCCUACUCACGGGGAACCCCAUUUCGGGGUUCCGGAGUGAAGUGGGGUGAGUGGCGCGGUGCUGCGAACUGAUUGCUACUUUCACGGAGUGAAGCCGCACAGCCAUUGCCGGAGAGCGCUGACUUUUUCCUGUGGACAAUUGGAUUUAAAACAAGUACCCGUGAGUAGAAACGGAAAAUUGGAUCAAGAAAUACCCUAAUUUGGCACCGAAGCGGGAAGGUUCAAACAGGAAGUCCGCCUUCCGCUUUUUGUACAUAGACUGAAGCAAAAACCUUGUAAGCUAAAGUCCGGAAAGUCGUUAAAAAGUCUAAAUUUCCUUCAUUUAUAACCACUAACACCCCCUUGGAAGCAGGAGAAAAGGGGGGGAUCUUUGUUUAAGCCUGCAGGAGAGGGAGUGAAGAAAGAUAAGCUUCCACCGUCUCAAACCUGGGAACGGGGGGUCAGAGACAGAAAUUGUUGGAGAGGUUCAUUGACUGUGAAUGGAAUACUUUAACAGAUAGCUAAAGAAGAGAAAUAAACUGAUUCCAGUGUUGCCUUUUGCAUUCUAAAGAAACAAAAUAUCUGAAAAAUGAAAGUAAUUUUCCUUUGUUGGACUUAAAAAGAUGGAUACAAAUAGAAAUUGUCUCCUCUAGAGGGAGCUUGUUAAAUUGUUGCUGCAGUCUACUUGAGGACUCUACAGCUGUGAGAUUAAGAUCGUGGGACCAGUCCUUUUGACCUCGAAUAAAAAUGAGCUGGGAGGAAGUUUUGGUGCUUGCUUUAUGCAAGACAAAUGCUUUGUUGGAACAGAUGCAUGAGAAGAUGGAUCUGAUGAAUGAGAAAACGGAUUUGAUGACUGUUGUGGUCAAUAACUGUGGACAAACAGGGAAUAUUGAUACAGAAACCAUUCAGGGACCAACUCAGGAACCUGUAUUGAUGGGGCAAGUGCAGAAGAUAAUGGAGAAGGUUGCGGUUGCACCUCAAAUAAUACAAAUGGAGAGAUCCGAGGCCCUGCAGGAGCAUAAGCCGUUGUCUUUGAAGAUUGAAGUUGGAGUGGUCCAGGGGGAGUCUGGAGCUGAGGAGGUUCUUAACUUCGGAGGGACUUUGAAAUAUGCUCUUAAAUAUUUUUUGGAUUACAUUGAUGACUGUGGGGAGUGGGACUGUGGGAAAUGGGCUGGUUUGAUGAAGGGAGAUGGAGAUAAUAUUGGGCUGGAACUUCCCAGAGACCUACUCCUCAAUGAGAAAGGAAAGAAAUUAAGAAAGAGACCAACAAAAGACAAGGAAAAGUGCAGGUAUAAACAAGAAGAAGAAGAUCUGCAGAAGGGACAUGGAAGAGACUUAAGAGCCUCGGAUAUAAGAUUGAUGGACUAGAUGGAAUGGACAGUAAGGACUGACAUGACCCGAGACCAGGAAGAAGAGACGCUGGAUGAAGAUUGGAAGAAAAUUUAUAAAGAAAAAUUUUUAUUUAGGGAAUUAGCCUAAAAUUAAUGAAUAUUAGGGAAAAUGUUGGAAUGAAACUAUAUGGCUUUAAUAGAAAUGAUAUAAGGAGUUAUGUAUAAUUGAGUAUUAAGUUUCAAGCUCUAAGGUAUUUUACGGUAAGAUAAGGUUAAAUAAAUUAAGGCAAUUUGAAUAACAGAAUAUGGGGAAAGAUGGAAAGGAUUUGUUGAGUUAAUUAAUAGGUUAAAUUGUUAAGAUAAAUUAUUCAAUAAAAAUUGAGAAAGAUAGAAAGAAUUUGCUGAAAUAACUAAUUAAACUAGAAUACAAAAAGGGAGGUGUGCAGAGGUCAAUGAAAUAAGGAAAUGGAAGUUAAGAUAUGUAAUAUGGGAUUUGUGUCUUUUUUUUGCUUUUUUUGCUGUAUCGUUGUAUUGGUUUUUAUGCUUUGUUUUUUCCCCCUUCUUUUUUAUGUAUUGUAGUGUUGUUUCCUAUUUUUUCUUUUUUUCCUGUAAUUCUGAAACUUUUAAUAAAUAUUAUUAUUAUUAUUUUUUAAAAAAGAUAAAUAGUGUAAUAAAUGUAGAGGUUACUCGUGCGCAAGUUGGUGCCACUCCUGGCUAGUUUGCCUUGUCAAACCUUUUCUGUCUGGACAGCCCUACACUUCGUGGCUGCUCAGUCGCUAGCAGAGUCCGUCAGUGGGCGUUUCUUAAACCUUUUCCAGCAUAAAAGUUGUUUGACUCCAAGUCUCCUCCUACUCUCCCUGCGCGGAAGUCUUCUGCGCAGGGAGGGCGUGGGUAGCGGAGGACCCAUGCUCUCCUCGCUGGUCUCCGGCGAGGAGUCCUGGAGCCCUCUCGCCGAUUCCCCCAUCUGCCCCCCCUUUAUCCCUGGUGUUAGGCUGAUUUCCUUCCCCAGCUGGUGAGCCGCCUCUCCUCCUGCUGGGCCCUUCUCCAGCAUCGCUUGAGAGCCUCGCCUCCGCCUCUGGCUCCGAUGUCAGUUCCCUGACAUCCACCUCCCCCCCAGGACCCCCUUCACCCUCGGCCCAACCUUUGAUCCAACUUCGUCCCUUUCCUCGGCCGACGAUGCGGGGAAUCCCCGGAAGGAGCUGUCGCCAUCCUCUGAGGACUCAAAACCCGCUUCCCACCCGCUCCGAUCUCUCCCCGCAGGGUGGGCCUCCCCGUCUGAUUCUUCUUCCUCCGAAGCCUCUCCUCCCUCCUCUUCGGAGGCAGAAAAACCCACAAAAUCCUCUUCAUCGUCUGUGGUUCCAAAUUGCUCCUCCCAGAAUCUUGCUAGUGGUUUGGGUUUGUCCGGGAACAGGCUGUGGAAUUCCUCCACAAGAUACCCGUCAUUGAUUGCCUCCGCGGGAACCCACGUGUUUUCCGACCCGGGUUCUCCCUCCCAAGCUACCAGGUACUCCACCUGGCGCCCUCGCCACCUUGAAUUGAGUAUUUCCGUGGCCCUGUUGUGGUGUUCCCUCUCCUCUAUCUGCGGGUGUGUGGUGACUUCGCCUUCCUGCCCCGGGACUCCCCGCCCCUCCCGGUACGGUGAGAGUAGGGACCUAUGGAACACCGGGUGUAUCUUCAUGCUGUCCGGCAACUUGAGUUUGAAUGCCACGGGGUUCACCUGCUGUGUUACCUCAAACGGCCCCAGCCGCCUUGGCUGCAACUUCUUGCACCCCCCCUUAAAGGGUAACCCUUGGGUUGACAACCACACCCGGUCCCCCACCCGUAUGGUCUCCCCUUCUCUAUGGUGCUUGUCUGCCUGCCUCUUGUAAAUUUCCUUGGCCAGUUCUAAGUUCAUCUUAAGUUGCUGGUGCAGGGCCUCCAUUUCUUCCACAAACUGCUCUGCCACAGGUACGCUCCACCCUUCCUCCCCACUCCCCGGGAAGGCCCUGGGGUGACACCCAUAAUUGGCCAUGAACGGGCUCAUUCCCGUGGACACAUGUUCAGCGUUAUUGUACGCAAAUUCAGCCAGCGCUAGUUUCUUUACCCAAUCGUUCUGCCUCUCGCUGACGUAGCAGCGUAGGUAUUGCUGGAGUACGCUGUUCGCUCUUUCUGCUUGCCCGUUGGUUUCCGGAUGUCUCGCCGUCGAGAAGCUCACCUCUACCUGCAGCAAGCUCAUGAGCUUCCUCCAGAACCGGGAAGCCCUUUCCCCCUUUGCCCUUUGGCAGCGGUCGCACCCCCAUACAUAUUCCCGCACAUCCUCCCUCACCCCUGGCCACCAGAACUGCCUGGUGAUGAGCAUCAUGGUUUUGUGCUGUCCAAAGUGCCCAGCUGUGGGGUUGUCGUGGAGUUGUUUGAGUACCUUUCCCCUCAGGGUCUCCCCCGGUACAUACAGCGCCCCCUUAUAGUACAGCACCCCUUCCUUUUCCUCAAAGCCCGGCCAGUUCUCGUUUCCCAACCAAGGCCCCUCCACACACCCAUCGGUCCUCGGGGAUCACGUGUCGUAUCUCCGGCGGUCCCUCUCCUUCCAUGUACUCCGGCUUCCGGGAGAGAGCAUCUGCUCUUAUGUUUUCCUCUCCUGGCACGUAUCGGAUUUCGAAGGAAAACUUGGAGAACUCCUGUGCCCAUCGAAUCUGUCUCUGGUUGAGUACUCUUGCGGUCCUCCAGUACUCCAAGUUCUUGUGAUCAGUACAAACCUGGAUCUUGUGCUGUGCCCCUAUCAGCAGAUGUCGCCAUCGGCGAAACGCCGCAUAGAUCGCAAGCAGUUCGCGGUCGUACACCGUAUAGUUUUGCUCCAACUUGCUCAGCUUCCUCGAGAAAAAGGCACACGGCUUCCAUUCCUGCUUGCUCCUCCCUGGCUGCAAAAGAACCGCCCCAAUGGCUCUGUCGGACACGUCGGUCUCUAGCCUCAUGGGUUUUUCCAGAUCAACGUGCAGGAGCUGCUCUUCCGAAGCGAACGCCUUCUUCAGUCUUUCAAAGGAUUGCUGGGCACUUUCUGUCCAGACAAACUUCUUUUUGCUACUGAGACAAUCUGUGAUGGGCGCUGUCAAGUGGGCGAAGUUCUUGAUGAACUUCCUGUAGAAGUUGCUGAACCCUAGGAACCUCUGCACGUCCUUCCGGGUUUUGGGGGCCUUCCAUUCCAGCACCACCUGCACCUUGCUUGGGACCAUAGCUAGGCCUUUGUCUGACAACUUGUACCCCAGAAACUCGACUUCUCUGGUGUGCAACUGACAUUUUUCCAGCUUGACCCACAACUGGUGCUUCUGCAGUCUCUUUAGCACUUCCCUGACGUCUCUGACAUGUUGCUUCUCAUUGUCCGAAUAGAUUAAGACGUCGUCCAAGAAGGCUACGCAGUUCUUGUACAGCAGGGACCCCAACAUGUGGUGCAUGAAAGCUUGAAAACAGGCGGAGCCCGACUGUAAUCCAAAAGGCAUAACUAAGUACUCAAAGGCCCCCCAGGGGGGUGAACAUUGUGGUCUUCCAUUCGUCCCCCUCCCUCAUCCUAAUCAAAUUGUAUGCUCCCCUGAGGUCCAGCUUGGUAAAAAAUUUUCCCUGCCUCACCCGUGUUAAAAUGUUGUCAAUCGUGGGCAUUGGGAAGGUCACGGGUUCUGAUACCAAAUUUAACGCCCUAAAAUCUACGACCAAUCUGGGCUGGUUAUUUCCUUUUUUGUCCACAAAGAACACUGGACUGCCCCCCACUGCCUUUGAUUCCCUUAUGAACCCCCUCUUCAGGUUCUUGUCAAUAAACUCCCGCAACUCCUUCAUCUCCCUGUCCGACAUGGCAUACAGUUUACCCACUGGCAGCUGAGCCCCUGGGAGCAAGUUGAUUUGGCAGUCAAAGGGUCUAUGGGGGGGUAGUCUAUCCGCCUCCUUCUCGCUGAAGACCUCCUGCAGGUCAGCAUAUUGUGGUGGCACCUCCCCUUUCGGCUCUACCGCUAUCCCAGCCACCCUGGCCACGGUCAUCCUUGGGGUUUCCCCCCCUAGACAGUGCUCCAAGCAGUAAGAUGACCCAAAGGUGACCGUCCGCUGAUGCCAUGCCACUACUGGAUCAUGUAGUGCCAGCCAGCUCAUCCCUAAUAUUAUUGGGGGUCCUGCCAGUGUGGCUACGUGAAAGGCAAUGGUCUCCGUGUGCCUGGAAACCCUCAUUCUCAUUGGUGGGGUGUGGUGCGUCACUUCCCCUCCCAGAAGCUCCCUGCCAUCAAUGGUGGUCACUUGCAAGGGAAAAUCCAGGGGCAGCAGGUGGAGCUGGUGCUCUAGGGCGAAGUCCUUGCUGAAGAAAUUGCAGGAACUGCCUGAAUCCAACAGCCCCUUCACCUUGACUGGGUGCCCAUUUGGGAGUUCUAGCACCACUUCUAUGGCUAUGGCCGCUCUGGGGGGGUCUGGCUGGGGUACUUCUAUUGGCUGCUGGCCUGGCUGCUGUGCCCGCAGAGUGGCAGCCAAGCGUUGGCGUUUCCCUGCUCCUGCCCCUCCCCCCCUCCUCACCUCCAGCAGCUCCCACCAUUCCUUGCCAGGCCUUUCUUUGAGGGCAGACCCUGGCAAAAUGUCCUGGCCGCUGGCAGAGGAAACACUUCUUAUUAGUUUUCCAAUCCUUUCCCUCCUUUUUGCGACCUUCACUGGAGUUUGAAACCUCCCCCGCGCGCGCCAUCAAUUUCCAUUGGCUCCACUGGCGGGGAAGGCUGCCUCGGUAUUUCAGGAAUGCGGUAGUCAUGGCAACGUUCCCAUCUCCUUUCGCUCUUCUCCUGAGCCCGCGCUUCCUGUCUUACGCCAAUCGCAAGCACAGCCUUGGUCAGCUGAUCCAUCAACUGCGGGCGGGGCACGCGGGAAAGCUCGUCCUUCACCGUUGGGGACAAUCCCUCCUCAAAUAACAUCUGAAUGGGUUCCGAGUCCAAUUCCCACCCGAGCCGGUGGACUAACAUGGCAAAGCGCGACCAGUAGUCUCUAACUGACUGGUUCCCCUGUUUACAACCCAUCAGUUCCCGCCGAGUCACACUUUGCUGCACAUCACUGGAAUACAUCGCAUCCAUCGCCUGGAAGAAUUUCCUCAGGUCUUUCAAGGCGGCAUUUUGCGUCGCCAUUAGGGGCCUGAUCCAUUCCCUGGCCCCAUCCUGCAGAUGCCCGACAAUGUAGGCCACCCUCUCCCCAUCGUCCGCAAAAUACUUAUGUUGCAGUUCCAAAGCGUAUUCUAUUUCCGUUCGGAACGCGUUGUAGUCCUGGGGCUUCCCCCCAAACUUGUGUACCAGUCCCGGUACCUUCCUUGCUACGGGGGUGGGUCUGACCUGUGCAUCGUGAGCCCGCCUUUCUUCCAACCGUGCCGUGAGAAGAGCCACAUGCUGUUCCAAAUCUCGGUUCCUCUCCACCAGAUUUUGCACUCCAGCUGCUCCCUCCGUGGCGCCGGCUCCUCCGGUUUGGCUCAUUCUGCUGCCUGCCUGUCGCUGCGCACAAGCAAUGUCAAAGACUGACGGAUUGCUGUAAUAAAUGUAGGGGUUACUCGUGCGCAAGUUGGUGCCACUCCUGGCUAGUUUGCCUUGUUAAACCUUUUCUGUCUGGACAGCCCUACACUUCGUGGCUGCUCAGUCGCUAGCAGAAUCCGUCAGUGGGCGUUUCUUAAACCUUUUCCAGCAUAAAAGUUGUUUGACUCCAAGUCUCCUCCUACUCUCCCUGCGCGGAAGUCUUCUGCGCAGGGAGGGCGUGGGUAGCGGAGGACCCGUGCUCUCCUCGCUGAUCUCCGGCGAGGAGUCCUGGAGCCCCCUCGCCGAUUCCCCCAUCUGCCCCCCUUUAUCCCUGGUGUUACGCUGAUUUCCUUCCCCAGCUGGUGAGCCGCCUCUCCCCCUGCUGGGCCCUUCUCCAGCAUCGCUUGAGAGCCUCGCCUCCGCCUCUGGCUCCGAUGUCAGUUCCCUUACCUCCGGCGGUAAGGUAAACGGCAUUUCCGUGAGUUGCUCUGGUUUCGCCAGAAGUGACUUAGUCAUGCUGGCCACAUGACCCGGAAAAACUGUCUGCAUACAAACACCGGCUCCCUCGGCCUAUAAAGCGAGAUGAGUUCCACAACCCCAGAGUCGUCUGUGACUGGACUUAACUGUCAGGGGUCCUUUACCUUUUUUAUGUAUAUGGUACUGUGAAAUGGUACUGUUUUGGAGAGUAUUGUGGGAACUUUUAGCACUUAGCAGUUCUUUUGUUCUUAAAUGGCCUAAAAUUAAUCUAUGAAAUUAAAAAAUGUAAAUAAAAUACUGUAUUAACAGGGGAAAGAAGAUUUUAUUUAGAGUCCAAACAUCACUGUUUUUCUCUCUUCCAAACACCAUGCUAGAAAAAGUUAGAAUUAAAAAUUAAUCUGCUAAGCGUUGUUUUAAGUGAUCCUGAUUGUACAUUAUGGAAAUUACCCAGUGUUAAAUAGAUUUAUAAUUGUUAGGAAGCUGAUAUUCCUAUUAACAUCAUGUAUAUUUAAUUGCUUCUUUGGAGUUAGUUGUAAAAAUUGAUUCUUUAUUUUUGUGGUGUGUGCACAGGAAGUUUUAAGAAAAGGCAAGGCUUGUGUGCACCAUUUGCUUUAAUUGCCUAAGACCUGGGGCCCUGAGACCUCCAUUGGUCUUGGGACAAUAUAAAGUCUGACAUGUCACUCUGCUUCUCCUUCCAAAAAUAAAAUUGUUAAGUAAGUGAUGCCAGUGAGACAGUUGGGAAAGGGGGAUAAGUACAGGUAAGGUCUGAAACAAGAACAGGAAUUGGGGGAGUAUGGACAUCUUUAUGGCUGCUAUAUAACCUAGCCAGCUUAAGUUUAGGUUAGGGUUGCCAUAUUUAGAAGAGCAAAUAAAGGACAAUUUGCUAGUGGGGUGGGUGGGUGGAAAAGUGCAUGUGCUGGGGUUACCAGGCGCUGGAGUGACAUCGGAGGGAAGAAAGCAGCAAAAUUUGCAUGCAAAAUGGGGGGGGGGGGGGCAUAUAGAAAGAAAGAAAGCUGCCAGUUUAAUAGUUUUGUUCAAUAUUAAUAAGUUGUUUAUUUUAAGAGUGGGGGAAGGAUUUAGAUACCUACCAUAGUGAGGAUCUGAAGGCACAUGUAAAAGAGGGGGAAGUGUUGCAGCUCACUACUUCUGCAAGCAAAAGAUCCCAGAUUCAAUCCCCAGCAUCUCUUGGUAGGACUGGUAAUGAUUUUUGCCUGGAAAGCUUCUGCCAGUAAGUGUUGGCAAUUUUGAUCUAGAUGGACUAAUGGUUCUGAUAUGCUUCCUAUAUUCUAAGAACCGACAAUGGAUUCCAAAGCUGUGGCAUGUGCUGUUGUUGCAGAAUCCUAGUUCUGUAAUUUGAAUGACUGCUAAAAAUACCAGAAAAUUAAAGUUUGGUUCAAUUGCCCUUUCCCCUUACUUAAGAUGGGCUGUUCACUUUUUUAAAAAAUAAUGCUUUUAAAGCUCUGUAUGUUUAUCUUUUAAACCAUUAAUUCAUCAAAUACCUUUCUUAAAUGUCUGGAAAAGAAUAGCUUUCCAUUUGCAAAAGAGCUUUCAGAUUAGCCCCACUAUAAGAUUAUGCUUUGCCAAAACUGGGUGUGCCUACUUGGGACACCUGUUCUCUCUGCUUCAUCAAUUUUGUUCAGAUUUUAUUUUUAGGGUCUCAAACCCACCUCUAACGGGGGGAACAAGUGUAUUGGAGGAAAGGCUGUAGCCAGGGUUGCCAACUUGAAUAAAAUUUGAGGGGCAGGUCAGCCCCCCCCCUACUUUAUCAUUGAUGACAUGACAUGGUGCAUGCACAUACUAGCUGUGGAAUCUCGACUGUAAUGUUUUAAUUCAUCUCGCCUCUUGUUCAGAUCAGAUAUGAAACAAAAAGCCCUCUCCAUGAGAAGACUUGAUUAGUCAAACAAAGCAGGGAGAAAUCCUUUACUGGGCAAUUAAAUUCACUUAAAACCAAGAAUUGAGAAGAAUGGCCUCUGGUUUCAUCUAUCAGUCUUUCAGGAUGAUGGAUUUAUCAUGCAAGGAAUGUGCAGUUUUCAUUCAUUUGUUGACUUUAAAAUAGUCAGCAUUUAAAUGAGCAUUUCCCCUAAUAUAGCUAAUUUCUGCAAGCAAUUUCCCCUAAUAUAAUGCAUUUCUGUAAGUUAUUUUCACAAACACCUUUAUUUUCAGAAUACACAUUCGUGUAUUUUCACAACUUUGUGAAACACAUUUUUGUUUGGAGAGUUGCAUCUCAAAAUUUUGCAUCUCAAAAAUUAGAGAAGUGUGAAUUUUGAAGGAUAGUGACAUGUUAAUUCACUUUUUGCUGGCACUUAUGGGCUCCCUAGCACCACAUGGAGCUUGUUCAGAACCCUGAAAAAUAAAGCAAGGGCUUCUUCUGGUUGCUUGGGGGGCAUCUAUUUUGGAGGGGGAGGGCAGACACUGCUUUGUGGUGGGGGGCAUAGGAAUUUUGCUAGCUUUUUUUGUGGGGUGGGUGGGUCUAAGCAUUGCCAGCUGCUCUUGUGAGAAAGUGGUAAACUGUGGCACCCAUAAUAGUUUCUCAGUUUUCCUGAUGUGCUUCCAGGGCCAAAAAAGUUGUGCUUUAUUUUAAGUAGGUAAAGUCAAGUCUAUGUCUGGUUUAAAAAGAAACAGUUGCAUCCAGUGUAGAGCUAAGUAACUCAUCCUAUCUGUGCAAGUUCGCUUGCACAAUGGAAACUCCCCCCUCUUCUCACUUCCCCUUGAAUUUAUUCUAGAGUUCCCUUAGCAUCCCCCCCCCCCCGAGCAGAUUUGGAGAGGGCAGGGGUGCACAUGGGAGCUGGGAAUGGGGGGAAGUGCUGUUGCACAAGCAGAAAUCCUUGCACUGCCACCUAAAGGUGGGAGCAGGGGAGGGAGAGAGUUUAUAUUUGUUCAACUGAGAGCAGCCAGGGAGCAGAUUGAGCAAGCUCCUAGGUCAAUCUGGUGCUGCUGUGAUGAGAUGUAUCCAGUUUCCAUUUAUAUUAUAGUAAUUAUUUCUACCUUUCCACCGAUACAUAUAGAUGAGCACAUAAACAUUUUGUGCCAAUUUGGUUUUUUUUUUGUUUGUUUUUUUGGGUAGUGCUACGUCAUUGGCCAUCCUAGCUUAACCCCCAACGCAGAAAAAGCGCAAGCUUUUAAAAAGUUAUAAUUGCUUCUUUUGUCGUGUUCCGGACACUCUUGAGAAAGCUCAGAAUCCCGGAGCCACCUGUCCCUCUCUCUUCCAGGAAAGAUGGCGGGUUUGGAGAAGUGGAUUCACUUGGCUUCGCUUUGGCGUUGCGAGCUGCUGAAAUGAUGUACUUGGUGACCAUGGCAAUGUGGUAGGUCCUCAAGUCAGAAAGGGCUGCCACACACAUGUUAUAUGCAGAACAGAGCUUCUCCUUGCCAGAGGAUAGCACAUGACUCCUCAGUGGGGGAAGCGACUGGAUUUCCUCAAUGAAGGCCUGAUGGUGAGGGGGCAUGUACUCCCUCAUUCUGUGCAAAAAUGUGGCUAGCAAAGGACGCAGAGAAGAUGAGUGAGUAGGAUUAAUAGUUCAACACUGUGUGUUAAUAACUAAAUAUUGUACUGUUAUGCAGCAGGAAUGGGGGUGUUGCUGGACUCCAGCUCCCAUCAUCUCUGCCCAUUGGCCAUGCUGCUUAGGCUCAUGGGAGUUGGGAGUCCAACAAUGUCUGCAGGCUCAACAUUUUCCCCAUCCCAGUAAUAAAUAAAGGUCAGGAUGAUAAAACCAUACCUGGUGAACUAUACCAUUUCAGACCACAGGCGAAUAAACUGUGUGUUUGUCUCCUCUCUUUUCUGUGAUCCUUUCCUACAUUGGUAGCCAAAGUUGGAACUUCAACUCCCAUCAUCCCUAACCAUUGGGCUAUGUGAGCUAGGGAUGAUGGGAGUUGUCUACAGCAUCUGAAGGGUGCUUAUAAGGUGCAUAUUGACUGUGCAUAUUGAAAAGGGAAGUGGUCACCUAUACGUGUGGGUUUCCAUGCAACCAGGGUUCGCAAUCAUGAAUGCGUUGCCUGCUGCCAUGUGUUGGAGGCUGGAGCCGUUGCUUCCUUGGCAGCCCUUCAUCCAGCAGUACUGGCUUGCCCCCACAACUGCAGGUGCCUGGGGCCUCACGCAAUCACCAGGUUCUGCACACAUGCCGUGGGGGAAACGCUCUACAUCUCCAUGCCCCCUGGCAUGUGCUUGUUAUGUUAUCAAGUGUCGGCGUGCACAUGGUGGGGUGAUGUAACAUGUGCACACCAGGGCACCCAUGGCUCCUCUACUGUGUCGCCUCUACAGUGGCCUCUCAGUGAAUAGGGUUAGGGUUAGAGUUAGGAAGGAACUGGCAGCGGCUGUCCUCUGGGAUCUUCUGGGUUCUGCACCUGCCAGGCAUGAUUCAGAGUGGGCCCCUUCCCACCCCAUGAUGGAGUUUGAGUCCCACUUCAACUGUCAGGUAAGGCUGAUUUGAUCCCCCUCCUCUUGUUCUCAAUCUAGAUAUUCACUCAUUCCUUCUUCCUUGGGGCAGGGGUGCACCAUUUUGUGGUUCACUUCAGGUGCCAAAAUGUCUUGGGACAGCCCUGCCACAGACCAUCUACACAAACCACAUGCAGUGCAUGUAUGUCUCCAGUUCAUCAAAGCAACAGACUUACUGCUUUCCAGAAAGCAACAGACUUACUGCUGGAUUCCAAGAAGUUCGUCAAAGGUGUGCAGUGUGGUGCUUUGUGCUGCACUCGCCCCAGAGAACACCAGAGGCUUGUCCGAGAUACCCUCAUAGAUCAGCCCUUCUGGCAGGGCAGGAAGUUCCUGCAGCCAAUCCAGAGCCUCACUGUCUGCACGCUGAGGUAAACCUGGUGCGGCCAUGGAUGGAGAGGGUGGGUGGCAGGCGGGCGGCAGGACAUACGCAUACAUAAAUUAAACUGGAUAUAUGAUUGUUUAACAUGACUGAGAAUCGAUCAGCCAGGGACUGAGGACUUUGAGAGUUUACGAUCAGAAUGUGGAAAAUAUGAAAACAACAAGAGGGCAGAAAUAUAACUAUCUGAGAUGAGUUCUUCAGAGGUCCAGAAUAUGGGAAGUCCAUGUGAAAUUUAAUAAUUAACAAUUCGGAUUGUAAUUUGGUUGUUUUUUAAUUUAAUUUUAAUUUUUGAAUUGGAUUAUGAUUUGAUUUGUUAUAAAUUGGAGGUUCUUAAUGGAAAAUUAAUAAAAAUAAAUAAAUUCAGUGAUUUGGAUGUUUGGAGUCACUAAGGCCAUUGGUAUGAAAUUUUCCACUCCCCUUUCUAGCAGGGAAGAGGAAGAAUCCGGUGGCAUUUACCAGUCUUUUGGGGCCUGUUAAAGACAUUCCUCUUUCAACAAGCCUUUUAGGUUGAGAUUUUUUAUCCCAGUUAGUAUCUGUAAUUGAUUAGAAUUGAUUUUAUGUAUGUGUUGUUGUUUUAAUGCUUUUAAUGUUUUAGCUGCUUUUAUACAAUGCAUACAAUUGUUUUGCAUAUGCUUUUAUUGCAUUUUAAAUAAUUUCAAGAUGCCUUGUGGGAAGCAAUUCAUAAAUGAAAUAAAAAGUUAUCCUUGAUGUUUUCACUGUGGACUCACCUCAACUUAUUUUACAGGAAAUGAUGCAUAAAUGGAAUCAAAUGCAUAAAGAAAUAAGAGCUGCAUGUGUGGCUGUUUCUAGAGUGCGGAUUUUCUCAAGAGUGUACCCCUGCUUGUCCCUCUACUCCUACUUGGAAAACGUUUGGAGAGCAAAAAGUAUACAUGCUGUACUUACCCAGAAAAGAAGAUCUGUAUCACACCGUAGAAUAUUGCAGGAUCCACGUAAUCUAGGAAGUGAAGC